ensembl:snRNA U6 U6 spliceosomal RNA
GAACUCACUUCAGCAGCACAGAUACUAAGACUAAAACUAUACAGAGAAGAUAAACAUGGCCCCUGUGCAAAGAUGAUAUGCAAAUUCAUGAAGUAUUCCAUAUUUCA